rnacentral:lncRNA from 1 species
UAGAUACUAAUGUGGACUUAAUUGCAAAGUUUAGGGGUAAAAAAUUACAUUAACCAUAAUUUUAACAAUAUAAUUUCAAGGGUUAAUGUAAUUUUUAGUUCCAGAACUUGCAACUAAGUUGACUUUGCUAUUUGAACUUUUUUUGUCCACGUUAGUCCUAGAACUUGCAACUUUUACCAAUUUGGUCCUUCAACUUGAAUUUCGUUAAAAGUGUGAUGACAUGACGCUCUGAGAUUGUGCCACAUAAUCACCUAAAAUAUAUAUAAUUGGGAAAAGCUGACAUGGUACAAUAUUAGAGUGUCAAGUCAUCACACCUUAAUGGAAUCAAAGUUCAAUGACUAAAUUAAGAAAAGUCACCGAGUUUUGAGACUAAUAAAAAAAAGUUAAGAGUACCAAGUUCGACCUAGUUGUCAAGUUUAAGUGACAAAAAUUACAUUAACCCUAAUUUUACAACAAUUUGUAUGGCAAACACAUCAUAAAAAAAAAAGACUUCAAAGCACCAAAAAGUUUGAACUUUCAACAUGACAACCCAUAUUUCUAUAAACUAUUUCCCUUUGGACAAGAAAAUGACCUUCAGGCCUAAUCUUGGAGUCAAGGUGGCUUCUAAAGUUAACGGUGAAAAAUACACCAUGAUAAGAGCACUAAAAUGUAAAGCAUCAUAAGAAAAAUAAAAUAAAGUUUGAACUCUGAACAUGACAACCUAUAUUUCUAUAAACUAUUUAACUUUGGACAAGAAAAUGACCUUCAGGCCUAAUCUUGGAGGCAAGGUGGCUUCAACAGUUAACGGUGAAAAAUACACCAUGAUAAGAGCACUAAAAUGUAUUAUGCUGCUAAAGCUUCAUUAAACCUAAAAAGGGACAUCAAGAUUCAACUGACCUGGAUAGCUGAUGUAUAUGCUAGGACUGUUCCACCUGGUUUAUGAAGCGAGACGAGUUGACUAGAUGAAUCUAAAACCACGGUUACAAUCGUGUCCAUAAUAGAUUCUUCCUCGGCAGUAGGAUCUGCCAAAAUGUAGUUCUUGUGAAGUACACAUGUCAAUGAAAACGGAAUGCUGCUCAGAUUAAUUUUUCUCUUCUCCUUAUUGACUGGUUCCCUGUCAGAUAGUCCUUGUUCCUCUGAUAAAACGAUCUUUCCAUCAUCGUUGAGAGAUACCACCGGGACCGGGAUUUCCACUGGAAUUUUUUUUUCGUAAAAUAAAAACAGUUAGAUUAGACACUCCAAAACAAAAUCUAUUAAAUCAAUAGUGUAGCUGCAGAGGGAAUAUCAAGACCAGAUAAUAUAAAGAGGCUUUGCAUGGGACAGCAAGCUAGGCAAAAUUAAAAGGUAAAUAGAUUACAGCCAUAACAUAUGGUUGACCUUGCCUUGUAUCUUAUAUCAUGAAAGUAUAAAUUGCGAUAUUUUGCAACAGGGUUUACCAUUGAAGGAUGCCCUAUAACCAAUAAGCUUGGUCAAGAUUUAUACUACCAAUGAUGCAUACUAAUCACUCAUCUAAUAUGAGAUUUAGUAAUUUUUUGGUUUACCCAAGGAAAAGCUUUAAUCAUGGAUUAGAUGAAACCAGGUUCCUAGAGCAAAUUCUGAUCAUUGUAUUGCCAAGAUAGAGCAGUGAUAAUUUUUGCUGGUACAUGAAAAUGCGUUUCCUAUGUUAAAAUUAAAGGAAGUAAUUCAUGCAAAAACCCCAAGAUCGCCAGACACACUUAAAAGAAGCAUGAAAAUCAGAAUGUCAGCCCUGAAAUAAAAUCAAUUUGCAUGUUAAUGCAUCAAGUGGAUAUAGCUUUUAGUGGUUUAUCAUAAAUUUCUUAAAGAUAACAGAAGGAAAAGGAGCAUUAUGUUCCAAGUGUCUUUUGUCAACCUAUUAUGACUUACUCUUGAUAAAUAAAUGAAAUGCUACUUUUAAUUUAAUUUACACCAGAGGAAUUCCUCAGGCGGUCAUACAUUUUUCUCUUUAAAAGAACAAAGCAAUUUUACCAUCGCAAAUUUUCUUUUCCCUAUCAUUGUCAAUCUUCUUUCUCAUGGAAGAGGUUGGUUGUUUUUGGCAAGUAUUAUCAUAUUUAGUGGCAUGGUGAAUUGAUGUUAUAAUAUUUGAUGAAAAUGAGAGAAACACUUACAAUAAGAAAAGGCAGCAACAACUGAGAGUAAUGCAGUGUCAAAAAGAGCACCAUCAACAUCCAAACAGUAUAUGUCCUGAAAAAACAGAAUACUAUGUUACUUCCAUAUUCAAGGAGAACAAAGGCACUAUGUUAUUACUUGAAUUUCCAUAUCAACUUGCAUGAACACUAGAUGGCUUAUGUUCGAACUCUUACACAACUUGAAAGUCCUAAGACGGAUAAUAAAGACAUUUUAAAACCACAAUCACGUACCAAAUAUGCCAUCCAAGCAACUUUUCCACUAACCAAGGACAGUUCCUUCAAAUUGAUCAUGCCAGAGCUGUAAUUACACAUGACAAGUUGUUUGAGAACCUAACAGAAAGAAAAGGAUUCAAAGUGGAACAGUUUUGAAACAAAACAUUUAUAAGUGUAAAGAGAUUCAAAAGAAACGAAACCACCAACAAAUUUAGAUAAAAUAACUGAGCAGUGUGCUUCAGCAAGCAGUAAGAAGCAAGAGGGAGAACUCAAAGUUUCAAUAUCAAGGCUAAAAUACCCAGUUAACCACAUCAAUAAUCAUAAGUAAAUACAGAGGCGAAGAGGAAGAUAAUGAUUGAAUCCACACAAAGAUGAGAUAACAAAUUGAAGACUUUGCAUUCUAAAGAUUACAGCACAGAUAAACAUCACACGUCACAACUACAAGUAAAUUAACAGGCUUAAUAGGGUGCAUCUCAGCAUCAAUAAACAAUCAAGGAACUAAAUUGGCAUGCCUUAAAAUAGUGUCUGACAAUUGCUUUGCAACGACUGGUGCUGCCUCAUCUGGUCUGCCAGGCCUAACAAUUGGAGAACAAAUUGGAGGCAUGUGGAAAUAAAUCGCUGAAAAUGAAAAAGAAAUUAUGAUAAAGUACGAGAAAUAAGAGAUACGUUUUAAGAAGAGAAAGAGAAACAAGAAAGCAUGCGGCUAACGGCAGCUAACGGCAGCAAACCUAUACAACCCUCAUCCGGUGUUUCCAAUGAAGGGGUCAUGACCUCCAUUUUGAUAGCAGCCAACAUAGUCUAUGCCAUGCAAGGAAUUAAUUAUUAAACUCCAAGCUUAAUUGCUUGCCAAAGCAAAGUAGAAAAUGUAUUAAGAGAAAGUGACAAAACUUACAGUUGAACCAAUUUUUGCAAGUGCUGAACCAUUAGCAGAUGCAACAGCCCCUGGAUAUUAAAGGAAUCAGAUCCAAGUAUGAAGAAAUAUUAUGUCACAUAAAAGCUUCAUAGUUAUAUCUUUUUUCUUUUACUAACCAAGGGCAAUGGUGGUUUCUCUUGCUCUUCCAAGCGGACGAGCAUCAGGACGUAUAGACUCUAAAAGAUGUUUCUCGUAUAAACGAAGGGGAAAGAGGCGUCUGAAAGCAUCUACCUCAACUUCAGUUGACAAGUCACCGCUCGCAUUUGGUAAUCCCAUCGUCAAUCUAUUUUCUUUUGAUCGAAAAAGGGGGGAAAAAACACAUUUAUACCCAUCCAUUAUCAGAAAUUAUAUUUCAUUCAUUUUAAAAUGUUGUUUUCAAGGUAAUAUCAUGGAAGCCUUUACUAGAAGUCAGAUUGCUUUUUGUCUCUUCUACUCAAAAAACGAGCAAAUUAGUCAUUGUACUUUAAAUCAAAGAGCAAAUUGUUCCUUGUGUUAAAAUUUUCAUUCAUUUCUACUAUUAAAAAAUAGUUUCUAUACAUCAAAAUAAGGUACAUGUAACGUGUCAAAUAUAAUUGUUUGGUUAUUCUGUAAACCACUUUAGAUGAACAAUUAUGACAAAAAGACCUAGUUUGCUCUUUGAUUUAAUGUACAGGGGCAAAAGGGUUUCCAUGCCGCUUUUUCCAUUAAAUAUGUGUUUUAGUUGUACAAACAACAUCAUUAUUUUAUAAAUUUUAGCAGAACUUUCUACAUUAACAAUUCUAAUUCAUCAAUAAAUCAGCAUAAUCGGAAAAUUUUCAAUGUUCAGAAUCAAUAUUUGAAACAUAAACUCAUGCAAUGAUAGUGAAAACAAUAAACAAAUUAGAAACGAGAAAUAACCCACCAUACAAAGAAAGUGAAAAAUGAUGAAAACACCCAAUAAAAAGCCAAAGAAAAUAGGACUUUAAAUUGGUGAAGAGGAGCUAAUAAACAAUCUCAAUCAUGGGACAAAAAGGGUCGUUUUCUUUGUGUUUAUUGUCAAACUAAUUCUCAAAAAAAAAAAAAAAACGAUGAAUAAAACACUCUAAAACUUGAAAUGAAACAAUAAAAAAAAAUAUAAAAGUAAUAUAAAAUUAUUAUAUAUGAGAAUAAAAGAAAGCCGUUUCUGGUGUACCUUAGCAAAUCGAUUUAGACCCUCUUUCUAGGCUCGGGCUUGGCCCAAAAUAUGGGCUUGAAAAUUUGUCUAUGUCCGGCCCGGGAAAAAAUUCCUAGGCCCGGCCCCGGCCCGUCCUUUUUUUUAGUAAACACCAAAAUUGUUAUAGCACCUAUGUAAAUAUUGAAUUAAUGGAGUGGAAAUUAGUUCAGUAAGAUAGAUUAGAAUAUGAUUAACUACUUUAACGAAUUUGACAUGAUUUAAAAUUUAAAACUUAAUUCAAGUAAUCCUUUGCGUUUAAAGGAUUGAGAUUAAACAAUUUAAAACUUUAAAAUUCCUAAUAAACCUAAACUUAAAAAUUGAGUUUAAACAAUUUAAAACAAUUGAGUUUAAACAAUUUAAAACUUAAAAAUUCCUAAUAAAUUAGAGUGUGAAAACGCAAACAAAAAAGGAAAAAGAAUUGAAUGGAACAAAAACAUUUAUUAGAUUUCAAAUUUAUAUAUAAACGUAGAAAACAUAAUAUUGUAUAUAUAAACCUAAACUAGAAAACGUCCUUUGCGUUUAAACAAUUGAGAUAGUCAUACUUAUUCUAUAAGCUAAAUUACAUAUGUACCAAAAAAGAAAUUAAUAAAAUUCAAACUGAAUAAAUCCAAUCAAAAUUCAUAAAUAGAAGCAUCUCCAUUUCUCAAUCCCAUUAUUUUCCUACUAGUAGAUAAACAAUUUUAGCAUAACAUUACCAUAAUUUAAUCAAAAUUUAAGUUUUUCUUUCCCCCUAAUAUUUUGGAAGUUCACUUCUUUUCCAGAGGAAUCAACAAUCAUAACAAUAUUUUGAGAUGAGGACACAAAUUAUCAUCUAGAAAAUCUGCUAAUCCUGCAUUUAAUUGCAAAAUGUUGUACAAAGUUAAAUAAAAGAAAAUCAAAUUAAAUUAAAUUAAAUUCUAAAAAGAAAAUGUAAACGAAAGCUUACGGGAAAGGAAGCUAAGGUAAGCCAAAUCGAUUUCAAUGUCGCUUGUUUUUGCAAUAAAACAAAGCAAAAACAAAAAAGAUGAGAUUAAAUGAAUAAACUAAGCUUGUGAUCUCAGCCCUGCAAAUUACAUGCUCUAUAAAACAUAAAUCAAUUCUCAUCCAAUAAUAAUUGAAUAACACAAUUUUACUCUUAAUUGUGCUCAGCUAAGCUGUAUUGAAAUACAAAACUCACCUCAAGGCAAUUUUACGGUAAAUAUAUAUAUACAUAUAUAUAUAUAUAAAAGUUGCUUUCUAAAAAUGAAAAAACAAGUUUCCAGAUGUCAGGAACCAUAUGCUAAAAAAAAUAAUACUUCACUUGUUGAAUAAAACUCUUAAUAAUCAGUCUCUCCCAAGCCAGGAUGUUUCUCAUCAAAGAAGAGAUUUUCAUUUUCAAUGCUGAAAAGAGGCGAAAGAUUCGUCUGGAAAAUGGGUUUGACUAAGCAGGCAAAGAGGAGGAGGGGCCCUUACAGCAUUCAUACAAUGACAAAUGUGCAGAUUACAAGGCUAACACAAGAUUAGUAAAGCAUGGCCAGUACAUCUCUUGUCAAGAAUCUUAGAAGUGAAUCACACUUAACAGGAGUCUCACCCGUGAUACUUGUCGGUAAAUGGGACAAGUCUCGAGGACAUCCGUGAAAGAUGUAAACCAAUGCUAAUUCAAAAGGUUGAACAUACAAUCCAGAUUCCAAAUUCCAAAAUUCCUGAUUUAAUUCUCCCCGGGAAGAUUCAGUGUCUUAAAAUCAAAAUCAGAAAACCACCAUAUUGGUCAGAUUAAUAUAACAGAGAUCAAUCAGUUCAUCAAUCCAAAAAUAAAAAAGCAAAAAGAAAAAAACAUAAAAAAAUAAUUUAACAAAUUAACAUGCGGAAAAGGUGAAGAACUGAAGAUUUACAAAUACAGAGGAGAAAUAAUUCGAGAACUGAAAAUUCAAAGGUAGAAGCACCGUAAAAGAGAGGAAAAAAAAUCUAACUAAAUGUCUAGGGUUAACACUGUUAACAGCAGCAAACUCCCUUUUAAAAGUUAACAUACCUUUGAAAUUCAAAGGUAGAAGACGUAGAAGCACUGCUCUAACCUCUGAUUCUGGAAUUGGGUAGAGCCGUGGAGGAUCGGAGUUGGAUCGGUGGAGGUGGAUUGGUGGAGGUGAAGGGUGAUUUUAAAAUUGGGAAAAAAAGGGAGGAUGGCACGGGCUUAGGAUUUUGAUCAGUGGAAGAGGAGAAAUGGGGAAAUUGCAGUGAUACGAGUCACAAAGGCCCAACUCAAGCUCAAGAACGUGAUGGGCUCAAAUUACCACAAUGUCCAAUAACGAGGUCAAAGGCUAGGAAAAUGCGUACGAAACUAAAUGGAUCCGUUCAAGACUUCAUUAGCAAGGCCUUAGAUGUUUAUACAGAGGAAAAAGAAAAUCAAGAUUCACUUUCUUGUUUUCAAGAAAAUCAAGAAACCAAAUCUUGGUCCAAUUUUGCUGUUUUGAGCGAUUGCAAGAAUCAAGAAAAUCAAGAUUUCAAAUCUUGAAAAUCUUGGUCCAAGAAACUGAAUCUUGCAGCUAAGACGCUUUGGAUCUCAGUUAUGAGCAUCAACGAAUCAAUUUCGGGAGAGAACAGAUUACAAGCCCAAGUUCUUGAAGAUACGACCCACUAAGAUAUUCCAAGCGCAACCAAGAAGUUUAAAUUAGACUUAGUUGAAAAUCAGACCAAAUUGUCAAAGUGGCCCAAUUUAAUUCUUUAAAUAUUUAGUUUUAAUUUUUAGACUUUAUGAAUAAAUUUCUAUGUAAAAAUUCAGUCCAAGAGGCUCAUUUAAAGGCCUUGGACGAAAUUCCCCUUUGAAAGUCAAAAUUAGGGUUUUUUUUAGUUUUCCUAGUAGGGCUAGGAAAGUACUUAGGAGGUCUAUAUAUAUGGCUUGGCCGGCCACCCUUAAUCACAUUACAUUGAAUUUUAGAUUUUUGUUGAGUGAAAAUUCUCUUUGAGUUUCUCCAAGAAUUUUCUCUUGGGUUUUCUUUAAAAGUAGUUUUAACAAUCUUUUUGAUUGUGGGAGCCAUCUUCAACCUUCUUAGGAGUUGUGAAAUCUUUCUUGAUUUCAAGGCUUCUUAGGACUUUUCUUUAUUUUUCUUGCUGUUUGUUCUUCUUUAAUUAUUCUUGUUUCUGCCGAAUUGUUGAUUACUUGAUUUAAUUGCUUUUGUUGCGUUUCAGCCACUCCAAGCUUCAAGAUCCUGUUUGGCAACAUUCUUUGGCAUCAAGAAACGUCCUUUAUUCAUAAAUUUCAAUCUUUCUUGCCGCCCAAGUUUCCUACUUCCACUUCAAUUUGGUUUUCUUGGUCUUUUGAAUAUAAUUUUCUGUUUUUUUUUUGUUUCACCCCAAGUGUCUAUAGCUUUGGUAAGACUUUCCCGUGACUUGACAAGCUCGAUUUGGUCCUCGCGCAAUCCUCUAUCAUGCAGUGUAUUUUAAAAAUAAAAAAUAUAUAUUUAUUAUAUAUUUAUUAUAAAGAAUUACAGCGCAGAUAAAUAUCACACAUCACAACCACAAGUAAAUUAACAGGCUUAAUAGGGUGCAUCUCACCAUCAAUAACGAAUUAAAGAACAAAAUUAAAAUCGUGUCUGAUAAUUGCUUUGCAGCGACUGGUGCUGCCUCAGCCGGUCUGCCACGCCUAACAAUUGGAAGCAUGUGGAAAUCAAUCGCUGAAAAUGAAAAAGAAAUUACGAUAAAAUAUGAGAGAUAAGAGAUACGUUUUAAGAAGAGAAAGAGAAACAGGAAAGCAUGUAGCUAAUGUCAGCAAACCUAUACUAUACAACCCUCAUUCGGAGUUUCCAAUGAAGGGGUCAUGACCUAAAGAAGCCAACAUGGUCUAUGCCAUGCAAGGAAUUAACUAUUAAACUCCAAGCUUAAUUGUUUGCCAAAGCAAAGCAGUAUAUGUAUUAAGAGAAAGUGAUAAACUUACAGUUGAACCUACUUUUGAAAGUGUUGAACCAUUAGCAGAUGCAACAACCCCUGGAUAUUAAAAGAAUCAGAUCCAAGUACAAAGAAAUAUUAUGUCACAUGAAAGUUUCAUAGUUAUUUCCCUUUUCUUUUACUAACCAAGGGCAAUGGUGGCUUCUCUUGCUCUUCCAAGCGGAGGAGCAUCAGGACGUAUAGACUCUAAAAGAUGUUUCUCGUAGAAGUGAAGGGGAAAGAGGCGUCUGAAAGCAUCUACCUCAACUUCAGUUGACAAGUCACCGCUUGCAUUUGGUAAUCCCAUCGUCAACCUAUUUUCUUGUGAUCGAAAAAUGGGAAAAAAACACAUUUAUACCCAUCCAUUUUCAAAAAUUAUAUUUCAUUCAUUUUAAAAUGUUGUUUUCAAGGUAAUAGUACCAUGGAAGCCCUUGUACUAGAAGUUUGAUUGCUUUUUGCCUUUUCUACUAAAAAAAUAAGCAAAUUAGUCAUUGUAAUUUAAAUCAAAUAGCAAAUUGGUCCUUGUGUUAAAAUUUUCAUUCAUUUCUACUAUUAAAAAAUAGUCCCUAUACGUCAGAAAAAGGUACAUGUCACGCGUCAAAUAUAAUUGUCUGGUUAUUCCGUCAGCCACUUUAGAUGAAAAUUUUUUAUUGAAAGGCCUAGUUUACUCUUUGAUUUAAUGUACAGGGGCAAAAGGGUUUCCAUGCCGUUUUUUCCAUUAAAUAUGUGUUUUAGUUGUACAAGCAGCAUCAAUAUUUUAUAAUUUUAGCAGAACUUUCUACAUAAACAAUUCUAAUUCAUCAAUAAAUUAGCAUAAUCGAAAAACUACUAAUGCUCAGUAUUAAUAUUUGAAACAUAAACUCAUGCAACGUGUCGAAACCAUUUUUAUUUUUUGGAAAAAAAACAAAUUAGUUGUCGAUAAAAAUUUAGAGUCGCCACCAAUCUUUUAUUGAGGUGUGAUUGGAUCACCUAAAAUGACUUUGGUCUACGAGUUUUAGAAAAACAGGUUCGGGAGUCAGUUACGUACAAGGAAGGAUUAGCACCUUCGUAACGCCCAAAAUUUGGUACCAAGUUGAUUAAUUAGUGUCUUAAUGUCGAGAGUUAAUAAAUACGAUCCUUAGUUAAAUUAAAUUAUUUAUUAGGACUUUCUCAUUUUGUAAAAAGAAAAUAUCACACCCAAUACGUUAGGGCACAAUAUUUUAUUCUUUUCAAGAUGAGUUGGUCAAAAAAACUCGUGUAAUAAAAUUUAAGAAAAUAUUUAAUUGCUUAAAAUUUAGGAAGAAAUCACAGCCCAAUACGUUAGGGCACGAUUUCUUAAAAUCCCAAACAUUAAAUAUUUCCUUUAUUUUUUUUAAAAUAUUUAUCUCGAGAAAUUAACGCGUCACAUCCAAUACGUUAGGACACAACAUAUUGAAUUCCCGAUGACAAGUUUUAUUUUGUUUGAUUAAAGAGCAAUCCUCAAUUGUUAGAUUUUACAAAGAAAAUUGGAACCGAAUACGUUAGGGCUCAAUUUUCUUGAAAAUCCUAAAUACGAGUAUUAUCUUUAUUUUGAAAAUUUUCUAUUUUUAAAAUUUGAGUAAAAGAUGAUGUAAUGUUAUAUUGAAUGCAUGAAUAAAUGCAUCUUUAACAAAUAUCAAUAAUAAAUACAACAAUUGUAUAGAAAUAAUAUAAAUAAAUAAAUCAAUAAAAAUAAAUCAAUAACAUUCAAAGCAUCAAAUAAACAAGCAAUAAAAAUAAUAUAAAUGAAAACAUAAAUUAAUAAACAAAUGAAAGAAAUAAACAAAAAAUAUAAAGAAUAAAAGGUACAUAAUAUAUACAUUGAACUUAUGAAGAAUAAGAAGAUGUGCACAAGGAUUUACACACAAAAUCUAGAAUUAUAAAAUUUAUAUAACUAAAUAUAAUGUAUUUAUGAAAAUAAAAAAAUACAUAAGUAUAUAUAUAUAAAAUAAAAUAUGUAUUUGAAAAUAUAAAUAUGUAUUUAAGUAUUUUCAAAAAUAUAAAAAAUAUGUACGUAUGUAUGUAUAAAUAUAAUAGAAUAUUCAAAAAAAAUAAAUAUGUAUACAUGUAAAAUACAUUAAAGAUAAUUAAAUAAUAUCUACAUUAUCAAAAUUAAUUAAAUAAAAAAAUAAAUAUAUGUGUAUAUAUAAAUAUGAGAAAAAUAUUAGUUGAAAAAAAAUAAAUAUGUACAUAUAAGAAAAAUAUAUUUGUGUGUGAAUUAUAAAAAAUAAAAAAAUAAAAAUAAAUAUACCUAUUUUAAUAUGUAAUAUAUAUAUAAGUAUGUAUAUAAAGUUAUGAAACAUAGAAAAUAUAUAAAAGUAUGUGUAUAUAUAUAUUAAAAAAAUAUAAGGCAAAAUAAAAUGUAAACAAAUUUGAAAAUAAUGAAUUUGAAAAUGAAUAAUAAGGGAAAAAUUUGAAAUCAACAAUACAAAUCAAUAAAUAAAUUAUACACAAAUCAACAAAAUAAGAACAAACCACAGAAAAUAAGAACGCAAAAGAGAAAAUUUUGAGUGAAUACUUUAAGAAUUAUUAUUACUCCUCACUUCCGUCCCUUACAAUGAAGGGAGAGACCUCUAUUUAUAGUUGAGCCUCCCUAAAUCCAACGGUACAGAUCAAUUACAUCAACGGCUAAGAUUAAAGGGUAUCUACAAAUUAAAUCUCUAAGAUUAAAAAAAUCAUAUAUUCUAAGAUUGCAUAUCAUAUCUAAUAUUGCAUAUAUCAUAUCUAAGAUUGCAUAUCCUUAAAGAUUAUGUUUCCAUAAACUUGUAGAUGGACCUUCAACUUUUUCAAGUAAUGGGCCAUUCCGAUCGGGUUAAAUGAUAUUACUGGACUUAAAAUUUGUUUUAUUAUUUUGGGUUUAUUAUUUUUUUCGUGAGCUCGAGCUAAAAUUGGGUAUUACACAACGAUAAUAAAAAAAAUAAACAAAUCAGAAACGAGAAAUAACCCACCAUACAAAGAAAGGGAAAAAUGAUGAAAACACCCAAUAAGAAGCCAAAGAAAAAUGGGACUUAAAAUUGGUGAACAGGAGCAAAUAAACAAUCUCAAUCAAGGGACAAAAAAGGGUCGUUUUCUUUGUGUUUAUUGUCAAACUGAUUCUAAAAAAAAAAACGAUGAAUAAAACACUCUAAAACUUGAAAUGAAACAAGGAAAAAAUAUAAAAUUAUUAUAUAUGAGAAUAAAAGAAACCUGUUUCCGGUGUAUCUUAGAAAAUCGAUGGAAGGCAACGACGGCGAAACAAUUAACAGAGAAGAAUGGAAGUGACGAAAAGAAAAUAGCAAGGGCUCGGCAUUCACUAAGAAGCAUUUUUCAUUCUCAAUUUCAUUUUCUUUAAAAAGUGUAAUGGGGGCAAAUCCGGUCAUCUCAAGCAAACUAAAUGGGUUAAUGUCUUUGUUAGCUCCCAAAUUUUCACCUACAGUGUAAUUUAGUACCUGUAAAAAAAUAUAAUUUAAUCAUCAGUAUCAUACCCUGCUGGUCUUCUACCUGUACCAAGACGUUUAAGUUUCGUUCCGGUCAAUAUUUUAAUAUGUUUGUUUUGCAUGUUUCAAUGUGCUUUGGCUCAUUCUAGCCGAUACCGACCCAUAUCAGUUGACACAAAAUUUUGAUACUUUAAAUUUAUCUUUUAAUUUUUUAUCUUAAACAUUUUAACUUUUUAUAAUUACGUUUAAAAUUAAAAUAAACUGAAACUAUUGAACCAAUUAAUAGAUUUAAAACUUAUUUUUACAUAUAAAUAGAUGUAAUUGAGAUAUAUUUGUUUGUAUAUAUAACAUAUAAUACUCGAAGCCUUGGCGCUGUGCACUCAUAACAAAAAGUAAUUAAGAAAUUCUUCGGUGCAUUUAGAAUAUAAAAUCCUUCAAAAAUAAGAAAAACAAUUAAAUAAUAUAGCAUAAAGAAUCCAACAAAAACAAUAAACAAGGAACAUCACAUGAUUCUUGGGUCACGGCAAUAAUAUUUUUGUUUUUUUUAUAUUACUUUAACAAAUAUAAAACUAAAAAUACAACAUCAACCAAAUUAUAUAUAUAUUUUUUCAUUCAGGCUAAAUGUAAUUGAAGGCCUUUUAUUAUAAUUUCGUUUAUAGGCGAUUAUCAUCAGUUCUUCAUGGCGCAUCUCUCUGUGCAAGUAUUGACGCAAGCUGCAACUUCCCUUGCAGCUGACAAAAACAAGACAAAUCGUUAAGUUAAUAUACAUACUUACAUACCAUCAAAUAAAUAUAUAAAACGAAAAAAGAAAAAUUACCAGGCAACCUCCCUUGGCUGCUUAGCAUCGAACAUGUCAGGGCAGCACACCCAACAAUGCAGAAUACGGAACUGCUCGUGAGGUGGGUUUCCUCCAGAGUCUCCACAAGCGCUUCUGACGGCAGGCAACGUUGAAUACAAUCCCCAAGGGAAGUUCCGUUGGGGACGCAAGUAGUUACACAAAAUGCAUACCCAAAUUCAAUCGGGGCGAGUGCUGUAACAGCUUGAAGGGAGAGACUAACAAGGAUCAACAACAGCAAACAGAAAAUCAACGCUCAUUAUUUCCCCCCAUUAUGUAUAUAUUUAAUUUGAUUUCAUGAUGAUUAUUUUGCACUGCUUUAUAUAGGUCUUAUAUAGAUUUUGAUUGUCAUGCCAAACAGCCAAACUGCCAAACUACCAAACUGCCUUAUUGAAUGUAAAAUUAAGACGUCAAACCAUAAUGCCAAAAUUUGAUUGAAUGCAAAAUUAAGAGAAAAUUUCUAUACCUAAUCAAAGUAAUAUGAAAUGGAUUUGUCAAGCCAAACUACAUGGAAAAUGCUUGAAUGUCUUGUCUUUUUUUUAGAAUUCUUCCUAACAAUCUAAAUUCUUCCUAACCAUUCAAAAUAUUCUGAUUGUCAAUCUUCUUUCUCAGAUGUCAUGAAUCACAAAUGAACACUAAACCUUUAACUUCAUAUUUUAAACAUUAACAUCGAAGUAAACACUUAAUCCGUGCAAAUAAAAUCUUGAUUCUCACCUUCACAGUGACUGUAUCCAUCUCCUUUGAAUUGCUCGCCAUCAACCAAGAGACAUUCACAAACUCUUCCUCGAAAUGUAUCUUAAGAAGCAAAUCAAUAUAUUCAAAUAAGCUCAUGGAGUAGAGAAUCCCUAUCAAAUCUGUUUCGAUUCAUACCCUGCAGGCUGUGAGAUUUGCUGCUUUUUCUUGCCAACAACCACCAUCAUUUUCCAAGCAUUCAUUCGUCUCCACAUCUGUGAAAAAAGUAACCGUCAUCACUGGUGUUUCAAAUAACAACUGGACAGUAAGUUGAAACACUACACUGGAUUUCUAAAAGCCUAGCUCUCGCCUAUGUUACUUAGUGUGAGAGUUGGAUAAGGCAUAUGUCUGACAUGGAUACGUGCAAGUUGUUCUUCAUUUUUCCUGUAUUCAGAGUGUUUUUGGAGGGUCACAUCCCCAUACUCGUAGAUGAAAACGUGUCAGACACGGGUUCUUAGAAAACUGGUACUUCAAGCAAAACUGAGACUCAGAGAAACUUAGCUCUAAACCACUUUAUCCAUACUGGAGAAAACUAUACGCCAUUACUACGAAAUUCUUAGAUAACCAGCAUUUUGAAAUUCAUUUUUAUUAUCAUACAUCUGCCUUGAGAACCAACCCAACCCAAAGCAUAUAUGUUCACUUGGACUCUGGGUGUGAGUUUCAAAUACAGGUAUGUGUUUGACACGGAUAUAUUCAAAUUUUUGUUCAUGUACCUAGAAGGAUCUUUGAAAAAUCAGAUCACCGUACACAUGUUCGGAUAUUGAGUCUAAAACUGGUACUUAAAGCAAAACCAAGAAUCUGAGAAACUUAGCUCUACUUUUGUAGACACCUCUAAGGCUACAUCCCUAUGAAAGGAGGGAAAUGAAGCUAAAUGAAUGGACCUAAUUUCAGAAAACAACUAGUAAGAUAAAAAGAGAGAAAGACAUCCGUCCAAACAACUUAAAGCAAAGCUGAAAACAAGUAAAUUAAUUCAUAAAUGAACGGAUAAAUAUAUAAAUAAUGAUAAUGAAAUCAAUGGAAACUGAUAAACCUAAAUUUAUUUAAAUGAAUUAGUUAAAAUAUAAUAACAUAAAUCCAAGUAGAUGGAAAAACCAAAUCUAUUAACCCUCAAAUCCCAAACUAUCAAAUAGAUUAUUGCCCCAUAAAUAAACCAAAUCCAACAAAUUGAACUUUAAACCUACUAUUUAAAUUCCCCAAUUUGGAAUUACUCAAAUUAGCUAAAACAACACAAAAAUUCCUCAUUGAUCAACCCUACAACAAACAAAUUAUAGCUCAAAUAAACAAAACCAUAGAUUAAUUUUUCUUAGAAGGCGAAAAUUUUGAAAAAAAGAAGAAGAAAAGUGUACCUCCACGAUCGACCAGAACAUAGGUAGGAAGAGAACCAGGCUUGGAUAUAACCGAAAUCCCAAAGUCAUCAAAACCUUUACAAGCUUUUCGGUUUUCUUCAGGGUAAACCACAACACCAGCCAUGCUUCCACCACAUUGAGGUAUCCCAAAGUUCCCAAUCGCACUAUCAUGGGUUGCUUUAAUCUUCUCCGGCGAUGUUACCGCCAAGCUCUUCUUUUCCACCACGAAUCUCGCGUAACAAUUGCGUAUCAAAGAUAAUAAAAUAAACACUUGAGGAAGAUGAUGAUGAUGGAAUGUUCGUAGCUCCAUAUCUUUACUUUUGGUUUUGGAUUUGGAUUGGAUCAGUUUUAAGGACGAUACUGAUGAAGAAGAUGAAGAUCGUGUAUGAAAAACAUGUAAAAUGAAAUGGUUUUUUUGAAAAAAAUAAAAACAGUGAAAAUCGCCAUUAAAUAAUUCUAUGAUUCUUUUAUUUGUUUUAAAUGAAUUUAGAACACAGUUAGUGAAAUUUUGACACGCUACUAAUAAAUAAUCUUAGUCAUUUAUAGAUUAAACAUUUUUCUUUUUUUUAAACAGUGCAAUGAGACCAAAUCCAGUCAUCUGAAGUAAACUUAAUGGGUUUAUGUUUUUCUUAGCCCCUAAAUUUUCACCUACCGUUUAAUUUAGUACAUGUUAAAAAAAAUCCAAUUUAGUCAUUUGUAUUAUACGUGACGGUCUUCUACAUAUACGAAGUCGUUUAAGUUUCGUUCCGGUGAAGAUUUCAAUAUGCUUAGCAUGUUCCAAAGUCCUUUGGCCCAUUCUAGCCAGUAUCGGCCCGUAUCAAUUGGUACAAAAUUUUGAUAUUUAAACUUAUCUUUUAAUUUUUUAUCUUAAACAUUUUAACUUUUUAUAACUACGUUUAAAAUUAAAAUAAACUGAAGCUAUUGAACCAAUUAAUAGAUUUAAAACUUAUUUUUACAUAUAGAUAGAUGUAAUUGAAAUAUAUCAAGAAAUUUUUCGAUGCAUUUAGCACAUAAAAUCCUCCAAAAAAUAAGGAAAACAGUUAAAUAAUAUAACAUGAAGGAUUCAACAAAAACAACCAACAAGGAACAUCACAUUAUUCUUGGAUAACGGCAAUAAUUGUAUCAUUACUGAUUAUCAUCAGUUCUUCAUGGCGCAUCUCUCUAUGCAGGUAUUGACGCAGCCGACAACUUCCUUUGAAGCUGACAAAAACAAAACAAAUCAUUAAGUUAAUAUACGUACUUACUUACCAUCAAAUAUUAAUAUAAAACGGAAAAAGAAAAAUUACCAGGCAUCCUCCCUUGGCUGCUUAGCAUUGAACAUGUCAUGGCAGCACACCCAACAGUGCAGAAUACGGAGCUGCUCGCGAGGUGGGUUUCCUCCAAUGUCUCCACCAGUGCUUCUGACGGCAGGCAGCGUUGAAUACAUUCCCCAAGGGAAGUUCCGUUGGCGACGCAAGUCGUUACGCAAAAAGUAUACCCAAGUCCAAUCGGGACAAGUGCUGUAACAGCUUGACGCGAGGGACUAACAAGGAUCAACAACAGCAAACAGAACAUCAACGCCAAUGAUUUCCCCCCCAUUAUGUAUAUAUUUGAUUUGAUUUGAUAAUGAUUUUUUUGCACUGCUUGAUAUCGGUGUUAUAUACACUUUGAUUGUCAUGCCAAACUACCAAACUGCCUAAUUAAGAUGCCAAACUAUAAUGCCAAAAUUUGAUUGAAUGCAAAAUUAAAAGAACAUUUCUAUAAGUAAUCAAAAUAAUUUGAAAUGAAUUUGUCAUGCCAAACUACAUGGAAAAUGUCUAAUGUCUUGUCCUUUUUUUAGAAUUCUUCCUAAUAAUCUAAAUUCUUCCUAACCAUCCCAAAUAUUCUGAUUGUCAAUGUUCUUUCUCAGAUGUCAUGAAUCACAAAUGAACACUAAACCUUUAACUUCAUAUUUUAAACAUUAACAUCGAAGUAAACACUUAAACCGUGCAAAUAAAAUCUUGAUUCUCACCUUCACAGUGACUGUAUCCAUCUCCUUUGAUUUGCUCGCUAUCAACCAAGAGACAUUCACAAACUCUUCCUCGAAAUGUAUCUUAAGAAGAAAAUCAAUAUAUUCAAAUAAGCUCAUGGAGUAGAGAAUCCCUAUCAAAUCUGUUUCGAUUCAUACCCUGCAGGCUGUGAGAUUUGCUGCUUUUUCUUGCCAACAACCACCAUCAUUUUCCAAGCAUUCAUUCGUCUCCACAUCUGUGAAAAAAGUAACCGCCAUCACUGGUGUUUCAAAUAACAACUGGACAGUAAGUUGAAACACUACACUGGAUUUCUAAAAGCCUAGCUCUCGCCUAUGUUACUUAGUGUGAGAGUUGGAUAAGACAUAUGUCUGACAUGGACAUGUGCAAGUUGUUCUUCAUUUUCCCUGUAUUCAGAGUGUUUUUGGAGGGUCACAUCCCCAUACUCGUCUAUGAAAACGUGUCAGACACGGGUUCUCAAGAGAGGUAAAGAGUCAGCACCCCUAAGUGGAACCAGACUAAAAUACUUCUCUUGCAAGAAAAAUAAAACAAGACAAACUCACCACCACUCGAACAAACAGCUGGUUCAGUAGUCUCCUCGAAGCCGGCACAUAUGGCCUUCAAAACAGCACCUUUGGCCAGCUUUCCUGCAUGCAGAUAUGUUAAACGCGGAAAGCACCCAAAAUUUUAUCUGGGAAAUACGGGUAUAAAUACGAACCUCGAUAUUGGCGAUUGUUGACAACAAGUCUAGGCAAUAUGGUAACAUCUCCUCUAGAUCCUUUCCCCGCCUAUGAAAAUGUUUCUAUUAAAUAGCCUCAAAAAGGUCAAAGAAGACAACGAAUUGGAAAAAGAGUAGUGAAACAUAAAAUAUCUUAGCCUGAGAGGACUACUUGAGCAUCUUGUUCUUCUUCCAGAACAGGAUUCUCCAUAUCAGCAUCUGGAUCUCCCAAACACUUUUCGAUCUUUUUAGCGUCAAGCCCUGAAUGGAUGACAAAGGAAUAUCAUCAAUUUAUUACUAGUUUCCAGCAAGAUUUUGAGUUUUCACUGUGCUAUUAAUACUAACAGAAAUUUGAAGAUAAACCGAGGAUCUUCCAAUUAACUGUUUACCAAGAGAUUUGAUAACACCGUCUGCACAUUCCUUAUUAUAUCUUUUCUACUUCAUUGGCCAUCUUAUUUCAAAAUCAGUCACAUAGUCCCACCACACCCAAGGCCUAUUGGUCUCAUUUGCCACUUUGAAAACGCAAAGCUGCCUUAAGGUCUCAAUAACUACAUCUUUCCCUUCAUAACCUGAGCUAAAACCUUGUUCAGGAUCCGGUGCACAGUAUCUUCCGCGGUUGAUGCAUUGAGAUAUGCACUGCCGGCUUAGGGUGAAAGCUUGAGGGCAGUACCAAGUUAUAUAAUGGGGUGUGAACUGCGUAUAGCCACCUUUUUCGAGAAUCUUAGCAGCACCCUUGAAAUCCUUCACAAAUGCCAUCAGCAUAUCGCAUUUAACUCCACAUUCAUCAUUGCUCUUGGUCCAUAACUCGUACUCGUCACGAUCAUCAGGGUUAGAGUUUCACCAGAAGUUUUCUCGAUAAGGGCAGAUGAACUGUCCUCUUCGCGAUUGUCCCUGGUUAUUAAUGCUUCUUCUAUGUCAUCCGCAACAAGCACUGCAGAAGCACUGCUUGCCAUACAUUCCAAAUCUUUAAAGCAAAGAAGCAAUCUGGAGAAAUAAUAAGAAAAAAGGCGCUAAAUGCAGUCUCCGCAAAUAUAUAUAUAUAUCAAAAACUAAAGAAAAAUUACAUCUAAGACCAUAACUCAAUCAAGGACAAUAAGCAAAUUUUACAACCUUGGCAGCAACUGGAGUCCGUAUAUAGGCAACACUUCAGAUUUUUCUCAUCUCUUUAACAGUGUAAUCACAUUAUAGUAAUGUAACUGAAUUAUCUAAUCCGGAAGUAACUAUAAGCCAUUACUACCUAAUGCUUAGAUCAACCAGCAUUCUGAACCUCAUUUUUAUCACCAUACAUCUGUUUGAGAACCAACCAAACUCAAAUCGUACACUCUAAAUCUAUGUUCACUCGGACUCGGGUAUGAGUUUCAAAUGUAGGCACAUGUUUGAGACGGAUAUGUUAGUUUUGGUUUUUCAUGUAUCUGGAGGAUCUUUGAAAAGUCAUGUGUCGCCCAUAUGCAUGUUCGGAUAUUGAGUCUAGAACGGGUACUUCAGACGGAUAUCCAGAGGAUCAUUAACAGCAUAAUCGCGUUGCAGUAAUGUAACUGAAUUAUCUAAUCCGGAGGUAACUAUAAGCCAUUACUACGAAAUGCUUAGAUCACCAUUAUUUUGAAACUCGUUUUUAUUAUCAUCCAUCUGUUUAAGAACCAACCAAACUCAAAUCAUACACUCUAAAUCUCUGUUUACUCCGACUUGGGUAUGAGUUUCAAAUAAAGGUAUGUGUUUGACACUGAUAUAUUCAAUUUUUCUUCAUGUACCUAGGGGAUCUUUGAGAAGACAUAUCACCGCACACAUGUUCAGAUAUUGAGUCCAAAACCGGUACUUCAAGCAAAACUGAGACUCAGAGAAACUUAGCUCUAAACCACUUUAUCCAUACUGGAGAAAACUAUACGCCAUUACUACGAAAUUCUUAGAUAACCAGCAUUUUGAAAUUCAUUUUUAUUAUCAUACAUCUGCCUUGAGAACCAACCCAACCCAAAGCAUAUAUGUUCACUUGGACUCUGGGUGUGAGUUUCAAAUACAGGUAUGUGUUUGACACGGAUAUAUUCAAAUUUUUGUUCAUGUACCUAGAAGGAUCUUUGAAAAAUCAGAUCACCGUACACAUGUUCGGAUAUUGAGUCUAAAACUGGUACUUAAAGCAAAACCAAGAAUCUGAGAAACUUAGCUCUACUUUUGUAGACACCUCUAAGGCUACAUCCCUAUGAAAGGAGGGAAAUGAAGCUAAAUGAAUGGACCUAAUUUCAGAAAACAACUAGUAAGAUAAAAAGAGAGAAAGACAUCCGUCCAAACAACUUAAAGCAAAGCUGAAAACAAGUAAAUUAAUUCAUAAAUGAACGGAUAAAUAUAUAAAUAAUGAUAAUGAAAUCAAUGGAAACUGAUAAACCUAAAUUUAUUUAAAUGAAUUAGUUAAAAUAUAAUAACAUAAAUCCAAGUAGAUGGAAAAACCAAAUCUAUUAACCCUCAAAUCCCAAACUAUCAAAUAGAUUAUUGCCCCAUAAAUAAACCAAAUCCAACAAAUUGAACUUUAAACCUACUAUUUAAAUUCCCCAAUUUGGAAUUACUCAAAUUAGCUAAAACAACACAAAAAUUCCUCAUUGAUCAACCCUACAACAAACAAAUUAUAGCUCAAAUAAACAAAACCAUAGAUUAAUUUUUCUUAGAAGGCGAAAAUUUUGAAAAAAAGAAGAAGAAAAGUGUACCUCCACGAUCGACCAGAACAUAGGUAGGAAGAGAACCAGGCUUGGAUAUAACCGAAAUCCCAAAGUCAUCAAAACCUUUACAAGCUUUUCGGUUUUCUUCAGGGUAAACCACAACACCAGCCAUGCUUCCACCACAUUGAGGUAUCCCAAAGUUCCCAAUCGCACUAUCAUGGGUUGCUUUAAUCUUCUCCGGCGAUGUUACCGCCAAGCUCUUCUUUUCCACCACGAAUCUCGCGUAACAAUUGCGUAUCAAAGAUAAUAAAAUAAACACUUGAGGAAGAUGAUGAUGAUGGAAUGUUCGUAGCUCCAUAUCUUUACUUUUGGUUUUGGAUUUGGAUUGGAUCAGUUUUAAGGACGAUACUGAUGAAGAAGAUGAAGAUCGUGUAUGAAAAACAUGUAAAAUGAAAUGGUUUUUUUGAAAAAAAUAAAAACAGUGAAAAUCGCCAUUAAAUAAUUCUAUGAUUCUUUUAUUUGUUUUAAAUGAAUUUAGAACACAGUUAGUGAAAUUUUGACACGCUACUAAUAAAUAAUCUUAGUCAUUUAUAGAUUAAACAUUUUUCUUUUUUUUAAACAGUGCAAUGAGACCAAAUCCAGUCAUCUGAAGUAAACUUAAUGGGUUUAUGUUUUUCUUAGCCCCUAAAUUUUCACCUACCGUUUAAUUUAGUACAUGUUAAAAAAAAUCCAAUUUAGUCAUUUGUAUUAUACGUGACGGUCUUCUACAUAUACGAAGUCGUUUAAGUUUCGUUCCGGUGAAGAUUUCAAUAUGCUUAGCAUGUUCCAAAGUCCUUUGGCCCAUUCUAGCCAGUAUCGGCCCGUAUCAAUUGGUACAAAAUUUUGAUAUUUAAACUUAUCUUUUAAUUUUUUAUCUUAAACAUUUUAACUUUUUAUAACUACGUUUAAAAUUAAAAUAAACUGAAGCUAUUGAACCAAUUAAUAGAUUUAAAACUUAUUUUUACAUAUAGAUAGAUGUAAUUGAAAUAUAUCAAGAAAUUUUUCGAUGCAUUUAGCACAUAAAAUCCUCCAAAAAAUAAGGAAAACAGUUAAAUAAUAUAACAUGAAGGAUUCAACAAAAACAACCAACAAGGAACAUCACAUUAUUCUUGGAUAACGGCAAUAAUUGUAUCAUUACUGAUUAUCAUCAGUUCUUCAUGGCGCAUCUCUCUAUGCAGGUAUUGACGCAGCCGACAACUUCCUUUGAAGCUGACAAAAACAAAACAAAUCAUUAAGUUAAUAUACGUACUUACUUACCAUCAAAUAUUAAUAUAAAACGGAAAAAGAAAAAUUACCAGGCAUCCUCCCUUGGCUGCUUAGCAUUGAACAUGUCAUGGCAGCACACCCAACAGUGCAGAAUACGGAGCUGCUCGCGAGGUGGGUUUCCUCCAAUGUCUCCACCAGUGCUUCUGACGGCAGGCAGCGUUGAAUACAUUCCCCAAGGGAAGUUCCGUUGGCGACGCAAGUCGUUACGCAAAAAGUAUACCCAAGUCCAAUCGGGACAAGUGCUGUAACAGCUUGACGCGAGGGACUAACAAGGAUCAACAACAGCAAACAGAACAUCAACGCCAAUGAUUUCCCCCCCAUUAUGUAUAUAUUUGAUUUGAUUUGAUAAUGAUUUUUUUGCACUGCUUGAUAUCGGUGUUAUAUACACUUUGAUUGUCAUGCCAAACUACCAAACUGCCUAAUUAAGAUGCCAAACUAUAAUGCCAAAAUUUGAUUGAAUGCAAAAUUAAAAGAACAUUUCUAUAAGUAAUCAAAAUAAUUUGAAAUGAAUUUGUCAUGCCAAACUACAUGGAAAAUGUCUAAUGUCUUGUCCUUUUUUUAGAAUUCUUCCUAAUAAUCUAAAUUCUUCCUAACCAUCCCAAAUAUUCUGAUUGUCAAUGUUCUUUCUCAGAUGUCAUGAAUCACAAAUGAACACUAAACCUUUAACUUCAUAUUUUAAACAUUAACAUCGAAGUAAACACUUAAACCGUGCAAAUAAAAUCUUGAUUCUCACCUUCACAGUGACUGUAUCCAUCUCCUUUGAUUUGCUCGCUAUCAACCAAGAGACAUUCACAAACUCUUCCUCGAAAUGUAUCUUAAGAAGAAAAUCAAUAUAUUCAAAUAAGCUCAUGGAGUAGAGAAUCCCUAUCAAAUCUGUUUCGAUUCAUACCCUGCAGGCUGUGAGAUUUGCUGCUUUUUCUUGCCAACAACCACCAUCAUUUUCCAAGCAUUCAUUCGUCUCCACAUCUGUGAAAAAAGUAACCGCCAUCACUGGUGUUUCAAAUAACAACUGGACAGUAAGUUGAAACACUACACUGGAUUUCUAAAAGCCUAGCUCUCGCCUAUGUUACUUAGUGUGAGAGUUGGAUAAGACAUAUGUCUGACAUGGACAUGUGCAAGUUGUUCUUCAUUUUCCCUGUAUUCAGAGUGUUUUUGGAGGGUCACAUCCCCAUACUCGUCUAUGAAAACGUGUCAGACACGGGUUCUCAAGAGAGGUAAAGAGUCAGCACCCCUAAGUGGAACCAGACUAAAAUACUUCUCUUGCAAGAAAAAUAAAACAAGACAAACUCACCACCACUCGAACAAACAGCUGGUUCAGUAGUCUCCUCGAAGCCGGCACAUAUGGCCUUCAAAACAGCACCUUUGGCCAGCUUUCCUGCAUGCAGAUAUGUUAAACGCGGAAAGCACCCAAAAUUUUAUCUGGGAAAUACGGGUAUAAAUACGAACCUCGAUAUUGGCGAUUGUUGACAACAAGUCUAGGCAAUAUGGUAACAUCUCCUCUAGAUCCUUUCCCCGCCUAUGAAAAUGUUUCUAUUAAAUAGCCUCAAAAAGGUCAAAGAAGACAACGAAUUGGAAAAAGAGUAGUGAAACAUAAAAUAUCUUAGCCUGAGAGGACUACUUGAGCAUCUUGUUCUUCUUCCAGAACAGGAUUCUCCAUAUCAGCAUCUGGAUCUCCCAAACACUUUUCGAUCUUUUUAGCGUCAAGCCCUGAAUGGAUGACAAAGGAAUAUCAUCAAUUUAUUACUAGUUUCCAGCAAGAUUUUGAGUUUUCACUGUGCUAUUAAUACUAACAGAAAUUUGAAGAUAAACCGAGGAUCUUCCAAUUAACUGUUUACCAAGAGAUUUGAUAACACCGUCUGCACAUUCCUUAUUAUAUCUUUUCUACUUCAUUGGCCAUCUUAUUUCAAAAUCAGUCACAUAGUCCCACCACACCCAAGGCCUAUUGGUCUCAUUUGCCACUUUGAAAACGCAAAGCUGCCUUAAGGUCUCAAUAACUACAUCUUUCCCUUCAUAACCUGAGCUAAAACCUUGUUCAGGAUCCGGUGCACAGUAUCUUCCGCGGUUGAUGCAUUGAGAUAUGCACUGCCGGCUUAGGGUGAAAGCUUGAGGGCAGUACCAAGUUAUAUAAUGGGGUGUGAACUGCGUAUAGCCACCUUUUUCGAGAAUCUUAGCAGCACCCUUGAAAUCCUUCACAAAUGCCAUCAGCAUAUCGCAUUUAACUCCACAUUCAUCAUUGCUCUUGGUCCAUAACUCGUACUCGUCACGAUCAUCAGGGUUAGAGUUUCACCAGAAGUUUUCUCGAUAAGGGCAGAUGAACUGUCCUCUUCGCGAUUGUCCCUGGUUAUUAAUGCUUCUUCUAUGUCAUCCGCAACAAGCACUGCAGAAGCACUGCUUGCCAUACAUUCCAAAUCUUUAAAGCAAAGAAGCAAUCUGGAGAAAUAAUAAGAAAAAAGGCGCUAAAUGCAGUCUCCGCAAAUAUAUAUAUAUAUCAAAAACUAAAGAAAAAUUACAUCUAAGACCAUAACUCAAUCAAGGACAAUAAGCAAAUUUUACAACCUUGGCAGCAACUGGAGUCCGUAUAUAGGCAACACUUCAGAUUUUUCUCAUCUCUUUAACAGUGUAAUCACAUUAUAGUAAUGUAACUGAAUUAUCUAAUCCGGAAGUAACUAUAAGCCAUUACUACCUAAUGCUUAGAUCAACCAGCAUUCUGAACCUCAUUUUUAUCACCAUACAUCUGUUUGAGAACCAACCAAACUCAAAUCGUACACUCUAAAUCUAUGUUCACUCGGACUCGGGUAUGAGUUUCAAAUGUAGGCACAUGUUUGAGACGGAUAUGUUAGUUUUGGUUUUUCAUGUAUCUGGAGGAUCUUUGAAAAGUCAUGUGUCGCCCAUAUGCAUGUUCGGAUAUUGAGUCUAGAACGGGUACUUCAGACGGAUAUCCAGAGGAUCAUUAACAGCAUAAUCGCGUUGCAGUAAUGUAACUGAAUUAUCUAAUCCGGAGGUAACUAUAAGCCAUUACUACGAAAUGCUUAGAUCACCAUUAUUUUGAAACUCGUUUUUAUUAUCAUCCAUCUGUUUAAGAACCAACCAAACUCAAAUCAUACACUCUAAAUCUCUGUUUACUCCGACUUGGGUAUGAGUUUCAAAUAAAGGUAUGUGUUUGACACUGAUAUAUUCAAUUUUUCUUCAUGUACCUAGGGGAUCUUUGAGAAGACAUAUCACCGCACACAUGUUCAGAUAUUGAGUCCAAAACCGGUACUUCAAGCAAAACUGAGACUCAGAGAAACUUAGCUCUAAACCACUUUAUCCAUACUGGAGAAAACUAUACGCCAUUACUACGAAAUUCUUAGAUAACCAGCAUUUUGAAAUUCAUUUUUAUUAUCAUACAUCUGCCUUGAGAACCAACCCAACCCAAAGCAUAUAUGUUCACUUGGACUCUGGGUGUGAGUUUCAAAUACAGGUAUGUGUUUGACACGGAUAUAUUCAAAUUUUUGUUCAUGUACCUAGAAGGAUCUUUGAAAAAUCAGAUCACCGUACACAUGUUCGGAUAUUGAGUCUAAAACUGGUACUUAAAGCAAAACCAAGAAUCUGAGAAACUUAGCUCUACUUUUGUAGACACCUCUAAGGCUACAUCCCUAUGAAAGGAGGGAAAUGAAGCUAAAUGAAUGGACCUAAUUUCAGAAAACAACUAGUAAGAUAAAAAGAGAGAAAGACAUCCGUCCAAACAACUUAAAGCAAAGCUGAAAACAAGUAAAUUAAUUCAUAAAUGAACGGAUAAAUAUAUAAAUAAUGAUAAUGAAAUCAAUGGAAACUGAUAAACCUAAAUUUAUUUAAAUGAAUUAGUUAAAAUAUAAUAACAUAAAUCCAAGUAGAUGGAAAAACCAAAUCUAUUAACCCUCAAAUCCCAAACUAUCAAAUAGAUUAUUGCCCCAUAAAUAAACCAAAUCCAACAAAUUGAACUUUAAACCUACUAUUUAAAUUCCCCAAUUUGGAAUUACUCAAAUUAGCUAAAACAACACAAAAAUUCCUCAUUGAUCAACCCUACAACAAACAAAUUAUAGCUCAAAUAAACAAAACCAUAGAUUAAUUUUUCUUAGAAGGCGAAAAUUUUGAAAAAAAGAAGAAGAAAAGUGUACCUCCACGAUCGACCAGAACAUAGGUAGGAAGAGAACCAGGCUUGGAUAUAACCGAAAUCCCAAAGUCAUCAAAACCUUUACAAGCUUUUCGGUUUUCUUCAGGGUAAACCACAACACCAGCCAUGCUUCCACCACAUUGAGGUAUCCCAAAGUUCCCAAUCGCACUAUCAUGGGUUGCUUUAAUCUUCUCCGGCGAUGUUACCGCCAAGCUCUUCUUUUCCACCACGAAUCUCGCGUAACAAUUGCGUAUCAAAGAUAAUAAAAUAAACACUUGAGGAAGAUGAUGAUGAUGGAAUGUUCGUAGCUCCAUAUCUUUACUUUUGGUUUUGGAUUUGGAUUGGAUCAGUUUUAAGGACGAUACUGAUGAAGAAGAUGAAGAUCGUGUAUGAAAAACAUGUAAAAUGAAAUGGUUUUUUUGAAAAAAAUAAAAACAGUGAAAAUCGCCAUUAAAUAAUUCUAUGAUUCUUUUAUUUGUUUUAAAUGAAUUUAGAACACAGUUAGUGAAAUUUUGACACGCUACUAAUAAAUAAUCUUAGUCAUUUAUAGAUUAAACAUUUUUCUUUUUUUUAAACAGUGCAAUGAGACCAAAUCCAGUCAUCUGAAGUAAACUUAAUGGGUUUAUGUUUUUCUUAGCCCCCAAAUUUUCACCUACCGUGUAAUUUAGUACAUGUUAAAAAAAUCCAAUUUAGUCAUUUGUAUUAUACGUGACGGUCUUCUACAUAUACGAAGUCGUUUAAGUUUCGUUCCGGUGAAGAUUUCAAUAUGCUUCGCAUGUUCCAAAGUCCUUUGGCCCAUUCUAGCCAGUAUCGGCCCGUAUCAAUUGGUACAAAAUUUUGAUAUUUAAACUUAUCUUUUAAUUUUUUAUCUUAAACAUUUUAACUUUUUAUAACUACGUUUAAAAUUAAAAUAAACUGAAGCUAUUGAACCAAUUAAUAGAUUUAAAACUUAUUUUUACAUAUAGAUAGAUGUCAUUGAAAUAUAUCAAGAAAAUUUUCGGUGCAUUUAGCACAUAAAAUCCUCCAAAAAUAAGGAAAACAGUUAAAUAAUAUAACAUGAAGGAUUCAACAAAAACAACAAAGGAACAUCACAUUAUUCUUGGAUAACGGCAAUAAUUGUAUCAUUACUGAUUAUCAUCAGUUCUUCAUGGCGCAUCUCUCUAUGCAGGUAUUGACGCAGCCGACAACUUCCUUUGAAGCUGACAAAAACAAAACAAAUCAUUAAGUUAAUAUACGUACUUACUUACCAUCAAAUAUUAAUAUAAAACGGAAAAAGAAAAAUUACCAGGCAUCCUCCCUUGGCUGCUUAGCAUUGAACAUGUCAUGGCAGCACACCCAACAGUGCAGAAUACGGAGCUGCUCGCGAGGUGGGUUUCCUCCAAUGUCUCCACCAGUGCUUCUGACGGCAGGCAGCGUUGAAUACAUUCCCCAAGGGAAGUUCCGUUGGCGACGCAAGUCGUUACGCAAAAAGUAUACCCAAGUCCAAUCGGGACAAGUGCUGUAACAGCUUGACGCGAGGGACUAACAAGGAUCAACAACAGCAAACAGAACAUCAACGCCAAUGAUUUCCCCCCCAUUAUGUAUAUAUUUGAUUUGAUUUGAUAAUGAUUUUUUUGCACUGCUUGAUAUCGGUGUUAUAUACACUUUGAUUGUCAUGCCAAACUACCAAACUGCCUAAUUAAGAUGCCAAACUAUAAUGCCAAAAUUUGAUUGAAUGCAAAAUUAAAAGAACAUUUCUAUAAGUAAUCAAAAUAAUUUGAAAUGAAUUUGUCAUGCCAAACUACAUGGAAAAUGUCUAAUGUCUUGUCCUUUUUUUAGAAUUCUUCCUAAUAAUCUAAAUUCUUCCUAACCAUCCCAAAUAUUCUGAUUGUCAAUGUUCUUUCUCAGAUGUCAUGAAUCACAAAUGAACACUAAACCUUUAACUUCAUAUUUUAAACAUUAACAUCGAAGUAAACACUUAAACCGUGCAAAUAAAAUCUUGAUUCUCAC